GGCCGGUUAGCUCAGUUGGUUAGAGUGUGGUGCGGACAACACCAAGGCCCCAGGUUCAGUUCCUGUACCGGCCA